rnacentral:rRNA from 1 species
GACGAACGCUGGCGGCGUGCCUAAUACAUGCAAGUAGAACGCUGAAGGAGGAGCUUGCUUCUCUGGAUGAGUUGCGAACGGGUGAGUAACGCGUAGGUAACCUGCCUGGUAGCGGGGGAUAACUAUUGGAAACGAUAGCUAAUACCGCAUAAGAGUAGAUGUUGCAUGACAUUUGCUUAAAAGGUGCAAUUGCAUCACUACCAGAUGGACCUGCGUUGUAUUAGCUAGUUGGUGGGGUAACGGCUUACCAAGGCGACGAUACAUAGCCGACCUGAGAGGGUGAUCGGCCACACUGGGACUGAGACACGGCCCAGACUCCUACGGGAGGCAGCAGUAGGGAAUCUUCGGCAAUAGACGGAAGUCUGACCGAGCAACGCCGCGUGAGUGAAGAAGGUUUUCGGAUCGUAAAGAUCUGUUGUAAGAGAAGAACGAGUGUGAGAGUGGAAAGUUCACACUGUGACGGUAUCUUACCAGAAAGGGACGGCUAACUACGUG